CCUACGGGCGGCAGCAGUGAGGAAUAUUGGUCAAUGGGCGCUAGCCUGAACCAGCCAAGUAGCGUGAAGGAUGACUGCCCUAUGGGUUGUAAACUUCUUUUAUAUGGGAAUAAAGUGCAGUAUGUAUACUGCUUUGCAUGUACCUUAUGAAUAAGGAUCGGCUAACUCCGUGCCAGCAGCCGCGGUAAUACGGAGGAUCCGAGCGUUAUCCGGAUUUAUUGGGUUUAAAGGGAGCGUAGGCGGGUUGUUAAGUCAGUUGUGAAAGUUUGCGGCUCAACCGUAAAAUUGCAGUUGAUACUGGCAGCCUUGAGUACAGUAGAGGUAGGCGGAAUGCGUGGUGUAGCGGUGAAAUGCUUAGAUAUCACGAAGAACUCCGAUUGCGAAGGCAGCCUGCUGGACUGUAACUGACGCUGAUGCUCGAAAGUGUGGGUAUCAAACAGGAUUAGAUACCCCAGUAGUC
rnacentral:rRNA from 1 species